CCCAAUGCCGUAACGGGUUGGGGAAUUGAGACGGGCACCGGUCGUGUCCGGUGCCGCUCGUACCCAUUUUGCUCUUUGGAGGAUCUGGCUAUGCGCA
rfam:Bradyrhizobium erythrophlei strain GAS478 genome assembly, contig: Ga0132009_12